rnacentral:rRNA from 1 species
GCACAAGCGGUGGAUGAUGUGGUUUAAUUCGAUGCAACGCGAAAACCUUACCACCUUUGACAUGUACGGAAUCCUUUAGAGAUAGAGGAGUGCUCGAAAGAGAACCGUAACACAGGUGCUGCAUGGCUGUCGUCAGCUCGUGUCGUGAGAUGUUGGGUUAAGUCCCGCAACGAGCGCAACCCUUGUCAUUAGUUGCUACAUUCAGUUGGGCACUCUAAUGAGACUGCCGGUGACAAACCGGAGGAAGGUGGGGAUGACGUCAAGUCCUCAUGGCCCUUAUAGGUGGGGCUACACACGUCAUACAAUGGAUGGUACAAAGGGUCGCCAACCCGCGAGGGGGAGCCAAUCCCAUAAAGCCAUUCGUAGUCCGGAUCGCAGUCUGCAACUCGACUGCGUGAAGUCGGAAUCGCUAGUAAUCGUGGAUCAGAAUGUCACGGUGAAUACGUUCCCGGGUCUU